GGGACCCGUCUUGAAACACGGACCAAGGAGUCUAGCAUGUGCGCGAGUCAUUGGGACUCGAACUAAACCUAAAGGCGCAGUGAAAGUGAAGGUCCGCCUAGCGCGGACCGAGGGAGGAUGGGUGGUCCCGCGGGACCGCCUCGCACUCCCGGGGCGUCUCGUUCUCAUCGCGAGAAGAGGCGCACCCAGAGCGUACACGCUGGGACCCGAAAGAUGGUGAACUAUGCCUGGUCAGGACGAAGUCAGGGGAAACCCUGAUGGAGGUCCGUAGCGAUUCUGACGUGCAAAUCGAUCGUCGGAACUGGGUAUAGGGGCGAAAGACUAAUCGAACCAUCUAGUAGCUGGUUCCCUCCGAAGUUUCCCUCAGGAUAGCUGGCGCUCGCAUCUCGCGAGUCUCAUUCGGUAAAGCGAAUGAUUAGAGGCAUUGGGGUCGAAACGGCCUCAACCUAUUCUCAAACUUUAAAUGGGUGAGAUCUCCGGCUUGCUUGAACUGUGAAGCCGUGAGAUAUCGGAUCAGAGUGCCAAGUGGGCCACUUUUGGUAAGCAGAACUGGCGCUGUGGGAUGAACCAAACGCAGAGUUAAAGCGCCUAAAUCGACGCUUAUGGGAUACCAUGAAAGGCGUUGGUAACUUAAGACAGCAGGACGGUGGCCAUGGAAGUCGGAAUCCGCUAAGGAGUGUGUAAA
rnacentral:rRNA from 1 species